GAUGAACGCUGGCGGCGUGCCUAAUACAUGCAAGUCGAGCGAACAGACGAGGAGCUUGCUCCUCUGACGUUAGCGGCGGACGGGUGAGUAACACGUGGAUAACCUACCUAUAAGACUGGGAUAACUUCGGGAAACCGGAGCUAAUACCGGAUAAUAUAUUGAACCGCAUGGUUCAAUAGUGAAAGACGGUUUUGCUGUCACUUAUAGAUGGAUCCGCGCCGCAUUAGCUAGUUGGUAAGGUAACGGCUUACCAAGGCAACGAUGCGUAGCCGACCUGAGAGGGGGAUAGGCCACACGGGAACUGAGCCACGGUCCAGACUACUACGGGAGGCAGCAGUAGGGAACCUUACGCAAUGGGCGAAAGCCUGACGGAGCAACGCCGCGUGAGUGAUGAAGGUCUUCGGAUCGUAAAACUCUGUUAUUAGUGAAGAACAAAUGUGUAAGUAACUAUGCACGGCUUGACGGUACCGAAUCAGAAAGCCACGGCUAACUACGUG
rnacentral:rRNA from 1 species